AUCUGCUUCACUAAAAUCUAUUAUUUUAAUACAUAACAUUUGAAGAGGUAAAUAGAAUGGCAGAUCAUGCACUUCGAUUUGUGACCAACUUCAUACAUAACCCCCUAAUCUUAUAGAUUACAAGCUGAUAGUACUCUGUAGUAAAGCACAUUUCAUUAGAGAAAGUUCGCAGGAUUCAUGGGAAGCAAUUCCAUUCUUCUAGCCGCCGACGCGUUUUCUUGAUCGUUUUCCA